rnacentral:rRNA from 1 species
UACGGAGGAUCCAAGCGUUAUCCGGAAUCAUUGGGUUUAAGGGGUCCGUAGGCGGUUUAGUAAGUCAGUGGUGAAAGCCCAUCGCUCAACGGUGGAACGGCCAUUGAUACUGCCAGACUUGAAUUAUUAGGAAGUAACUAGAAUAUGUAGUGUAGCGGUGAAAUGCUUAGAGAUUACAUGGAAUACCAAUUGCGAAGGCAGGUUACUACUAAUGGAUUGACGCUGAUGGACGAAAGCGUGGGUAGCGAACAGG